UGGGCCAAAAUAAUUAAACAGAAAGCAUUACUUCUGGAGCAGCACUUGUAUAACGUAGUUUUGUUACUUACAUACGUGAAUUUUUAGUAUUUCUAUUCAAACCAAAAAAGAGCAACAAUUCAUAAAACUAAUGGGAAGUUUGACCUUGUUUCUGUGAAACUAAUCGAUCAGUUUGGUUCAGUGGCAGUGGUUACAAUUCUCAGUGAGUUCUCAAGGUUCUCACUGGAGUCCUUUUAUGAAGCUUCAUUCUUUUCUGUGCUUUGUCGUUGACAGCAGUUGUUCACAAAUGUACUACUGCCAAAAGCGAUGGCGUGAAUAAGGCAUGACUGUGAAGUGAGUGGUAUUUCUCUUCUAAAAAUCUGGUAAAGAGAUAUGAUCAGGUUUUUGAGUUGACUAUUUGAUUAUAAAUGUGUACAUUCCAUUUGAAAAAUAUAUUUGUGUCAAAUGAAAAUGGAGUUGCAAAUUUACAAAGACGUUUUUUGCUAUCUUGAAACUGAUUCUCAAAUUCCUCAUCUAAACAGAAAUCAAGGCUGCAUGUCUUUUGCUGCUAGGAGGACUGUUUAUCCAAUGUAUCAAAACGCAUAAAAUUAUUUGCCAUAAUUUGAGUUAGCACUGUUCUCUCCAUGCCCUGGUUUCAGCUCGCUGUUAAUAGUGCAUUAAUGUCUGGUUGCUGCUGAGCAAUGGGUGUAUGGCUGAGACUGGGUCAGGCUGCUUGGUGGGGCAGAGCUGCUGCUGUGGUGGUGGGGGGUGGCUGCCUUGCAGGCUCUGCUGGGCUGCAUAAGGGCUGCAGGUUAGACGCGCCUGUUAUGAUCCCUGCUUAGCCUGAGGAUGUGAGUAUUGAUCAAAACAAGUCUAGAAUAACAGAUUUUACUGGAUGGUGGACUGUGGUUUACUUCUAAGGGGUUCACAGAAGAUAAGUAGAAACAGCCUUUAAAUUGUUUAUGAAGGCCUAAAUUUCUUUAAGGCUGUUCAGAAUCAGCACACUGGAAAAAACAUGAAAUUCCUGACCUGUUAUUAGGUGGAAAACACAGCAUUUUCCAUGGUUCUUUCUUAAUAUUUGAGGAAAAAGUAGUACGUUGAGGCCACUGUUGCAGGUUGUUGCAGAAAGCCCAGUACAGAGCCUUCUGCUGUGUACAACUCCUGGAUUUGAACAAGAAAUAGAAGAAAUCAUGGUUUUAUCUUGGGGUUGAAUCAGAUCAAAUGGCUUUGCAAGGGGCUGUGUGUCUGUCCCUCUCCUUACAGAUGAAAAUGAGGCACGAAGUGGUGAAGUAACUUGCCCAAAAAUUUUUUAGGCUAUUAGCGGGGCUAGGAAUAGAACCUAAGGGACAGAAGUCUUUAUCUGAGGCUUUCUCCACAGCGUCACAUCACAGCUUUCAGAAGCAUAAGCUUCUACCUAUCAUUUCUAACUAUUUCAUAAGCUGUUAAUGUAUACCUGGUCUAAAAAUACUGUUUUGAAGACUUGGGACUGACCCACUGGUGACUAUUUGGAUUUAAACCUAGAGGGUUGUUUCUCAUAAGGUUGGAAGAAGUAAGCCUUUCAGAAAUAGGGGUGUCUACAGCUGGUUGAAUUUACUUGCUCUGCAGCUGAAUGCUGUUUUGUUGCAGUUGCUUUGAGUCCUGGUUCUGCUAUGUCUUCCUGAUCUUACAUUAAAUGGUUGUUAAAACUCUCUGCAUUUGCCUGGAAUCUCUGUCUCCUGAAAUCCAGCUUGAUUUUUGGCUGACCUUAAUGGGUUGCCUUGUGGGUGAAUGUCUGUGCUUGGUGUUGUUUGUUGCUGUACCAACUUUGAUUCUGCAGAAUGAGUAAAGACCUCGGGAAGAAGGAAAAAUGUUUUAUUUUCUGGAAGUACACACUUGGUUAUUUAACAUCCUAAUUUUGAUUCUGCCCUAAUAAAAAGUUCUUGGAAGUUGGAAUGAUGUCUGAGGUUUUCUUUGUUUUUUAAUAAAAAGUAACUGCUGAAGAAUCCCGGUGGAAGAGUGUUCUGAGUUUCAAAGCACCAUCAGUGCUCUUCUGGUCAAGUUUCAAAACCAUAUCCAUGGGUGCGUACAAACAUCACCUGCCUCAGGAUUUUCUUGGGAGUGUUUUCAGGUUUUGGUGGCAUUGUAGAGCAUCCAAAAGAUGCUUCUUAAAUGGUAUUCAGCACCUCAGUGCUAACUCUGAGGUUUAUGAAGGGAUGGUGCCUACUUCAGUCCUGAACUCAAGAACUGAAAGUGUGGAAGUGAAAUAGUCUCACCAUCAGCAUGUGAAUACAGUGGUAAAAUGUUUUUGCUUCAGAUACUGAAAGCGAAGCAGGUUGGGUGUGGAAUCUAUUAGUAUUAUCUGCCUACUUUACCAUGUUGGUAACUUUUUGUUCACUGGUGGAAACAAGUUCUUCAUACUAACGAUGAAUACAAAGACUCUUACUAUCUGUUAGACCACUGCUAUAGAUCUCCUGCUCCAAAACUGUACCCUGUUCUUCGAGGGGCUUAUUUAAAUGUGGAAGGGUUGUGAGAUUAAUUGCAGUAAGCCUGCCAACAACAGAUCAGAAAAAGUAAAUAAGUAUGACGCAUCACAUGCAUAUGUUGUGUCAGUUUGUUCCAUCUCUGGGUUGGGCAGCUGGAGGAGAGGAGUUGGGUCCUUGUUCUUCUUAGCCUCAGUUGUGUUUAUCAGUCAUGGCUUAUCUUAUGAGCAAGGAAAAAGGUCUAGUUAACAUUGUGCUUUAUGGAAGAUAUUUCCCCGGAAAGGAUUUUUGAAUGUUCUGAAGAGUAUUUUGCAGUUAGGGUUUAAUUUGUUGUUGCCAUUAAAAAGCAAGCCUGCUCUUCACAGGUGUUGUUCUGCUGCCCCUACCCAGUCCCCUGUUCUGUCAACUAGUAUUUAUGCAACAGCAUGGUUAAGCAGAUCAAAGAGGUAAUUUAGUUGAAAAAUAAUCUAGCUAGAAGUGCAGCUAGUUUUCAUGUACAUGUAUAACUGUUAGUGCAGGGAUGUGGCAGGAAAACAUGGCUCUUGUGUGGUGAAAAGUUUGGGUUGCACACAGUUGCUGUGAUCGUGGAAUUGCAUGCCAUUAGCCCCUUCCUGAACCUUUGUGUGAAAGCCAUGUUUCAUUAGGUCUGUUUUUCUGGGAUGAUCUUGGAUGUGGCUGCUCUCCUGUAGGAUUUCUUUGGGCUGCUGAUGAAGCACUGUAUUGUGUUUCUUGGCUAAUCAAUCCGUUUCAGCAAGUGGAAGCAUGUACUUAAAGAUAACCAGCUUACAAUGGCUCAAAGCAUAUGGGCUUAAUGACUUUAAACAGUUUUGUUUCCAUUUGUUGCCACGUGGUGGUGAUGUUGGUUGUUCCCUCCUACUGCUGAGGGUAAGUGGCAGAUAAUAUUGGCAAAGGAUGUCCAAUAGAUAGAUCAGUGCCUCCAGAUGACUCUAACCGGUGCCACGUGGUUUUGGCAAUUACCAAUAUGGUGAGGAAAUUCAUGCUCCUGUUUGUACUCUUAUUCACAUGUAAGUAUUCCAGUACUUCAACAGGGUGAGCUAAUCAACAGGAAGUAUUUUGCAACAGACAACACUGACAAAAUACAAUCAUUUUUCAGGGUAACGUGCUACAGGUAUCUCCUUUUAAAUUCUUGCUUAUCAAAGUCCAUAACCCUUUGUUUCACAGAAGACAUAAAAUCAGGAAUUCACCGAAGUUAACCAGUAAAGGAUAACUGGCACUGUGUAUGGAAGGGACUGUUCUCUCCUUCAGUUGCCUAUGACUAAUGCCUUGGGCUCUCAUCAGUUUUAUGCUGACAAGCAGAGAUGGGGAAGAGAUCAUCCAUUCAGAACGUGUGUUUAAAUGAGAUCGAUAGCACUGUAAAAUCCUCUCUGCUGACUACUGAUUAUAAGUGUCAGUGUGAUCUAGGCCUUGAAGAAAUUUAUGUGAUAUAGGUGACAGCAUAGUCGCUGUAAGGACAGCUUCCAAAACAGUUACAUCUAAAGAUCUAACUUUGUUUAAUCAAUUCUGACUUUCCUGCACUUGUAUGUGUCCAGUACUACAAACCCAGGUCUGCUGAGGCACUGAAGAUCUUAUAUUUUCUAAUAGUUCGCUGUUUGUUUCUGUUCUUCUUUACAGCAAAGCAGAAGAGGAAAGUGGAAAACUGAGAUUCUCAUGUAUUUUGAAGUCUCAUGUGGGUAAGAUGGGAAGGGAAACUUAAAUAAGACAAUAUUAGUCAAACAUUCUAAAGAUUUUUCCAAUUAGGAGUUGUAUAAAAGGAAACUGUGUGUGUGUUUGUGUGUACACGUUAUUGUCAGUCACUAUAAAUGCAUGAUUGAGAUGCUGUUCUAGAAGUUCAUUAUGUUUGUUUUGUAAUCUCCAUUUCUUAAUAGCUUAUCUUUGUCUUUUACCAUCAAACAGAUGAUCUUAUUUCUGUUUGUGAUUAAGUUAAUGACUUUGUCUUGUAAAUACUGCUUGGCAAAAACAGGUAAAUCUAAAACCAAACUUAUAUCAAAAUAUGCAUCUGUAAGUAGCAUUACUUCUGUUGAAGGUGUGAGUUUUAUUUUUUUCCCUAGUGAUAUAUGAUGCAGAAAACAAAUUGGGAAUGAGAAAAAGCAUCAAAUCAAACAUUCUUUAUAUAAACUCUUUUUCAACAUGAUGUGAGUUGCAGUGGCUGAUUUUUGGGCAGCAUUGGACUGUGGAACAUGCAGAGCAGUUUUGCAUAACUCUGAAGAUGUUUGGGUGGAUACUGGAGGUCUAGCCAUCACAGUUAUGUAGUUUCCACAGCCUGCAUGAGUGUCUUGACAGCUGACUGUGUUCUGUUGCAAGACAGUAUAUUGGACUAUGUAUACAUGCCUUCAGUGUUUCAAAACUCAGCCUGUGAGGUGUGGGAGAAAGAAGCUAGCAGUCGCAUUUAUGAGUCAAAUUCUUUGGAGGUGUGCAAGAGUAGUUGGUGAAGGAACAUAAAAAGAUGAGGAUUGGGGAAUGGAAUGUUUGGUGUUGGUUUUAAUUAGAAUUGUCCUGUUCAUCAUUCAUAUUGUGAGAUAAAAGGGAAAAAUAUCCUCUCUGCACAUGCAGAGAAAAAAUAUUUCUAUUACAGUUAGUGAGCAAUUCUAAUUGGGCUGCCAAAUAUAAAUUUGUCUAAAACUCAUACAGAUUCAGUAUUAAAGCUAGCAGUUUUCUCAGAAGAAAAAAAUAAAAAUUAAAAAAAAAAAAAAACCACCGAACUAAUAAAGCCCAGUCUGUAACCUUUUCUCUCAUGAAUAUAGGUCGUCUUGUGGCUUUUUCCUUCCAAACAGUAUAAAGAUGGGAUUCAUAUUGUGGUUUGGAAGAGAGCAUGUUUUAAACCAGAGGAGGAAGUCAAUGGAUGACCUUUAGAGCUUAGGGAAGAAGGUUUUGGAGGGGCUUUCUUCCAGCCAAGGAGUAACCAGCUGCUCGACCAUGCUGUUGUCUUCUCGCAGGUGUGGUGUGGUGACAUGCCAGGAGAGAUUCGAUGUCCUGAAACAGAAGCCUCAAAAGUGAUGUGGGCCAAUUCAGAGGCAGUCAUUCUGUACUAUGUAGUCCUGGGCCACUGGAGGAAAAGAAGAAAAUGGCUUUGGGCAAAGUCUCCCUACUUGUAGCAGAAGUCCAAGAGGUAGUCAUCUCUGCAGAAAUAACUUUGGAUUUGACUGAAGCCCCUGGAGAAGUAUGACCUUGCUGUUCUCCCUUGCUAAGAGAUACAGCUUUCCUGUCUCCUUGGCCAAGCAAGAUACCAGCAGAGGCUUGAAUCCUGCAAGAUCCUACGGCAGGCUGGAUUGCUUUUAGCUCACUAAAAGCUGUGUUACACUAUUAUAACACAAGCUUCAGGUCUGCGUGUGCAUAGUGUUAUUUCAUUUUUGGGAUAUAUCCUUUGUAACACCUUUCAGGCUUGAGGAAGAGGCUUUUAACUGUUUCCUGCUGGCUGGCGAAGGAAAGGACAAUUCCCAGCCCAUUCCUUGGCUGUGGACUCAAUCAAAUCUGGCUGUUGGAACCAGGGCUCUGCAGAUGUGGGAACCCCUAAAGGAGAGAUUAAAAUGUGGCUCUACUUCUAAUGCAGAUUGUAGGACAUCAGAUAACUAUCUGGGCAUGCAGGCACGCAAUGCCUGGAUCAAAGGAAGAGCUACAAACCAAAUCUGAUUGCUUUAUUGAUACCUUUUUUGGUUCUUAAAAGUGCUAAUUUUUAGUAGAACCAGAAGUAUUUCUGAUACGUCAGAACAGGCAUUUGAAUAAACUUGCAAAUUAUACAACACAGUAGAAAGAGAAGCUCAUUUCUGCUUUCCCCGUUGCCUAGGUGAUUAAUGUGAGAUAAAUACAGUUCUUCCUAUGUCUGCUCUUAAAUCUUUAAGACAAAAAUUUUUUGACUUGGUGUUGCAAGAUGUGAAGGUGUUUCAAUGGCUAGAUUUCACAAGAGUUGGACUCUCCUCCCUUCCCAUUCCUUGUGUCACGUUUCUGCUCUGCAGGUCACCUUAUAGGUGCUAUUUAAUGCCCUCCAAACCCCUCAUAGGCUGGGAGCUGGGGUGGCUGAGUUCAGUGGUGUGUGUGCUUAUGCAUAAAGCUCACACUAGUUAAAAAUGCCAAGUAAAAUAUAAUUAUAUGUAGUACCAUUAACACCCUGUAAGCAUUAGAGCAGCAAAAGGUGGUUGGUCAUGAGAAAAAACAGAUUGCUGGGCUAGAAAUCAGGAUACCAACUGCUGCCUCUGGCUUUGGCACCGACUGGUGUAACCCUGAGCUGGUCAACUCAUUUCAAUUUCUCCCUUUGUUUUUCCUCUGUCAUGUCUAUUUAAAUAGAAUGUCCUUUGUGGCA